AGGGCGGGACACGUGAUAUCCUGUCUGAAUAUGGGGGGACCAUCCUCCAAGGCUAAAUACUACUGACUGACCGAUAGUGAACCAGUACCGUGAGGGAAAGGCGAAAAGAACCCCUGUGAGGGGAGUGAAAUAGAACCUGAAACCGUGUACGUACAAGCAGUAGGAGCAGGCUUUGUCCUGUGACUGCGUACCUUUUGUAUAAUGGGUCAGCGACUUAUAUUCAGUGGCAAGGUUAACCAUCUAGGGGAGCCGUAGGGAAACCGAGUCUUAACUGGGCGUUCAGUCUCUGGAUAUAGACCCGAAACCAGGUGAUCUAGCCAUGGGCAGGUUGAAGGUUGAGUAACAUCAACUGGAGGACCGAACCGACUAAUGUUGAAAAAUUAGCGGAUGACUUGUGGCUAGGGGUGAAAGGCCAAUCAAACCUGGAGAUAGCUGGUUCUCCCCGAAAGCUAUUUAGGUAGCGCCUCGGACGAAUACUACUGGGGGUAGAGCACUGUUAAGGCUAGGGGGUCAUCCCGACUUACCAACCCUUUGCAAACUCCGAAUACCAGUAAGUACUAUCCGGGAGACACACGGCGGGUGCUAACGUCCGU
rnacentral:rRNA from 1 species